AAAUAAUCUUUAUAGUAUUAUAUUUGAUUUCUGAAUCGUUAUUUUAUCUCAAAUAUUUUAUAAAAUUGUUAUAUCAUUCGUAUAUAUUUUACCGAUUUAUCCUAACUCUAGAAGUACCAAAUAAAACCCUAAUUUCACUAAUUUCCUAAAGUUAUACCCUAAAAUCCCUAAACCUACGUUCUGAAAGGGAAAGAAAGGAAACAGGGGAGCUCGAGGGGGAAAACAAAAAGGAAAAAGAAAGUAAGGGAACAGAGAAGGAGCAAAGGGGAAAUGAGAAACUGAGAAAAGGGAGAAGAGGGAUUAGGGAAGCCAGAGGAAAGGGCGACGACGGAGAGUGUAAUUACGGCCGCUGCUGUUGAAAUCGGAAGGGAAGCACGAGAGAACAGAGAGACGCGAACGAUCGAGGGAGAAGGUAGCGUCACCACCGUGUCUCAUCAUCGUCGCUGAAGCUUCGAUUGCUAUUGUCCCUACUAGGUUGCCAAUGACGUCGUACAGAACAGGAGAUAGGAGCGCGAAUUGGAAGAGGAAAGGGAGCUCUGUUACGGGUUCGUCGCCAGGAAAAGAGGCGAUGUUGGUGGGGAUCGCCGCUGGUGUUGUCGCCGUGACUGGGGUUCGUGGUCGCUACUGCUGUUGGUGACGGACUAGGUCGUGUUCUAGCUGCCGGAGCCGCCAUUACCGUGGCCUUGUUACUUCGGGUCAACCAUGUCUCUGCCUCUGAUGUACCUUGUCGUGCCAUAUCCGUUGGAGCUGCCGUGGUUGGAGCUUGCUAUUAGAGAAAGCAAUUUGCUGCCACCAUCUUUCAAUCUGGCCAGCAUCAUCCUCUUUGUUCUAGUCUCAAGCCAAUUUUCUGUGUCUUAAACCUUUGUCAAUUUAUCUCCUGAUAAAUCACAAUUGGUGUUGAGGUCGUUGAUGUUGCUGCUGUUAUGCUAUAGCUAGCUACAAGAGUUUUACUGCUGCGGGUUAGAAAUUGAUGGUUGCCUCAUCCCAAAAUUCUGUGGAUUUCGCUAAAGCGAGGUAGGGGGUUUAAAACGAUUUUAAUUUAAGAAUGCCUACAAGGUUUAUUGAAUAACUGCAAAUAGAUUUAA